rnacentral:sRNA from 1 species
GUGUAAAUAUGUAUGUAUUUAUUUCACACAGUGCAUUGCUACCCUUGGGGCUUAUAAACUGUUAAACAUCAGAUUAACUCUAGUUGCCCAAACGUGUUGCGACCUAAAAGUCCUUCUACCCUUUAGCAUCUUCUUCAUGUUUACCUUAGCUAUGUAAAAAUAUUGUUCAACGGUUUUUGUUGUGUUAACAUCGGAAUGGCAACACACUUUGAGAUUAAUUAUUCAAAUCACACAAUGAUUGCUGUGGGAUUUCUUGAUGUGCAUCAAAAUGCAGAGGACUUAAGACAAGAAUCAAUGAAGAAGUUAAUCCGAGCAGUAACUCUGACUUCUUUGAAACCUUACAAAAACUUGCUGAGGAGCUACUGCUUAAACUUACUAAAUUCAUUUGCUGAGGGAGUGCAGUUUGAUGAAGAGCUCACAGAUUUUGCUGAUACCUAUUUUUCUCCAGAAUAUGGAUACAAUGUAGAUUCCAGUAUGGUUGAAACUCCAGAUUGUAGACCAGUUCCCCUUUUUCAGGGUUUAAUCAUGAAGUUCCGGAUGUUAAGGAACAAUCCAAAUAAACAAACGUUUACCCAGGAAGAAGAUGGGGAAGAUCCGUCUUUAAAAUAUUUCAGAAAGAACAAACCUCUAAAAUUUAUGGCCUUGAAGGAAAGAAAACAGAAUCCCUCAAGCCAUUCCUCCCCCCCCCCCCAUCCCCUUGAUUACCCACUACGCCAUGAAUGA